rnacentral:miRNA from 1 species
UGGGUAGAACUUUGAUUAAUA